AUUGAACGCUGGCGGCAUGCCUUACACAUGCAAGUCGAACGGUAACAGGUUAAGCUGACGCGUGGCGAGCGGGUGAGUAAUGUAUCGGAACGUGCCCAGUCGUGGGGGAUAACUGCUCGAAAGAGCAGCUAAUACCGCAUACGACCUGAGGUUGAAUGCGGGGGAUCGCAAGACCUCGCGCGAUUGGAGCGGCCGAUAUCGGAUUAGGUAGUUGGUGAGGUAAAGGCUCACCAAGCCAACGAUCUGUAGCUGGUCUGAGAGGACGAACAGCCACACUGGGACUGAGACACGGCCAAGACUCCUACGGGAGGCAGCAGGGGGGAAUGUGGAGAAAGGGGCGAAAGCCUGACCGAGCAAGGCCGCGUGAGGGAAGAAGGCCUUCGGGUUGUAAACCUCUGUUAUAAGGGAAGAAAAGGUGUGGAAAAAACCAUGGAAGUCAGGACGGUACAUAAAAAGAAAGCACCGGCUAACUACGUG
rnacentral:rRNA from 1 species